CCUACGGGAGGCAGCAGUGAGGAAUAUUGGUCAAUGGUCGGGAGACUGAACCAGCCAAGCCGCGUGAGGGAUGAAGGUACAGAGUAUCGUAAACCUCUUUUGUCAGGGAACAAAGGCGGGGACGUGUCCCCGGAUGAGUGUACCUGAAGAAAAAGCAUCGGCUAACUCCGUGCCAGCAGCCGCGGUAAUACGGAGGAUGCGAGCGUUAUCCGGUUUUAUUGGGUUUAAAGGGUGCGCAGGCGGUCUGUUAAGUAAGCGGUCAAAGCCCGGGGCUCAACCCCGGCCCGCCGUUGAAACUGGCAGUCGCGAGUUGGAGAGAAGUAUGCGGAAUGCGCGGUGUAGCGGUGAAAUGCAUAGAUAUCGCGCAGAACUCCGAUUGCGAAGGCAGCAUGCCGGCUCCACACUGACGCUGAGGCACGAAAGCGUGGGUAUCGAACAGGAUUAGAUACCCCGGUAGUC
rnacentral:rRNA from 1 species